UGCACCCAGCGCUAUCCAGUCUCCUCCAGCUACCCAGCUCCAAACCAUUCGUAACAGGUGAAAGGAUGUGCCGUGUGCACUGGGCCAGGAGAUAUGGAAGAGGAAAGAGAUGGGCAAAGUGACUCCCACAGCAGCCUUGUCGGUGGUAGCUUGGUACCUUCCAUUCUGCCUCCUUGGGGAAAGAGGCCAGCCUUAUGGAUCUGGGAAUUGGGAUUCAAAUCCCAGCCCUGCCACAGGCUUUCUCGAUGACCCUUGAUCACAUGGGCACCUGGCCAGCAAAGCACGUCUAGGGUGGAAGCAGAAGCAUGUGAGCAGUCCCAUUGACAUCAGUGGGAUUUAACAUGUUGUGCAAUCGGAAUUCAGCUGAUAGCUCUGUUGAUGAGAGGAGAGGGGAAAGAGAUUCCAAUUGGCUUUGCACAUCUGCAUUGGCAGUGCAAGUGCAGAGUAAAAAAACCCAGGAGAUCUGCAAU